GGGAUAACCCGGAGAAAUCCGGCCUAAUACCGCAUGUGGCCGAGGGGAGGCAUCUUCUCUCGGCCAAAGGAGGCAACUCCGGAGACGGAUGGGCAUGCGUGACAUUAGCUUGUUGGCGGGGUAACGGCCCACCAAGGCGACGAUGUCUAGGGGUUCUGAGAGGAAGGUCCCCCACACUGGUACUGAGACACGGACCAGACUCCUACGGGAGGCAGCAGUGAGGAAUAUUGGUCAAUGGGCGAGAGCCUGAACCAGCCAAGUCGCGUGAAGGAUGAUGGCCCUACGGGUUGUAAACUUCUUUUGUCAGGGAGCAAUUGAGUCCACGUGUGGGCUUAGCGAGAGUACCUGAAGAAAAAGCAUCGGCUAACUCCGUGCCAGCAGCCGCGGUAAUACGGAGGAUGCGAGCGUUAUCCGGAUUUAUUGGGUUUAAAGGGUGCGUAGGCGGAAUAUCAAGUCAGCGGUAAAAAUUCGGGGCUCAACCCCGUCGUGCCGUUGAAACUGAUGUUCUUGAGUGGGCGAGAAGUAUGCGGAAUGCGUGGUGUAGCGGUGAAAUGCAUAGAUAUCACGCAGAACUCCGAUUGCGAAGGCAGCAUACCGGCGCCCAACUGACGCUGAAGCACGAAAGCGUGGGUAUCGAACAGGAUUAGAUACCCUGGUAGUCCACGCAGUAAACGAUGAAUGCUAAUUGUCCGGA
rnacentral:rRNA from 1 species